GUGGCAGGGGAGCUGGGGGCUCCCCGGCGGAAGUAGCGCGAGAGGCUGGACAGCAGCGUGCUCUACAAGAAAAAAAGUGGCUUGGAGAGUCAAGAAAUGAAGGUGGAGCUUGGGAAGCUAGCGUGAGGUAUUCCAGGACCUCAUGGCAUAGGACGCUUACCUGAAGGCAAGCAGGCACUGACAAGAAGGCUCUGGCCUCGGGCUUGCCUCUCCUGGCACAGCCUCACCUCUUCCACUGCCGGAGGAGGAUAAGCAGCAGAGUGCACUUCAUGGAGCCAAGGCGAAGGCAGUUCACUGAGGCUGGAACUAGGAGCUGAAAGGAGACAGCACACCAGUCAGAAGUCAGUGGAAAGAUUCGCAUGCCAUCCACAGGGCACCUCCGGCCUCAUUGCCUUUCUUCCCCAGCAGUGAGCUCACAGGAGUGGAGUGGAGGGGGAGAAGCCAGGGUUGGCAUGGCAGCAGCAGAGCUCUGCUGACCCACUACAGUCUCAGGCCUCCCAGGCCAACGUGAGCCCUGUGACCUGACUAUUUGUGCGGCUGGCUGGCAGACUCAUGACCUCUGCUAUUUGACUUCAAAGACAACCUCCCUGGGAGAAAUGUAAAAUCUCCCAGACACACUUACUAAUGCUUUGGUUCCAUCAAGCACGUCAAGAAAGAGCUGGCGACGCACCACAGAGUCAGUCAGGUGCAUUAUAUCUGCCUGCAAAGGAACAGAAAAAGGUUUCAGCUGGGAAAAUUUUCCAGAUUUUAGAGGCCAAGAAACAUGGGGUCCUCUGCUAGGCAAUUAGUCAUUGGUAAAACAGUCUCCCUGAUUUAAAAUAGGGCUUAUAUAGGCCGGGCGUGGUGGCUCAUGCCUGUAAUCCUAACACUUUGGGAGGCUGAGGUGGGCGGAUCACGAGGUCAGGAGAUCAAGACCAUCCUGGCCAACACGGUGGAACCCUGUCUCUACUAAAAAUACAAAAAUUAGCCAGGCAUGGUGGCGCGCACCUGUAGUCCCAGCUACUCGGGAGGCUGAGGCAGGAGAAUUGCUUGAACCCAGGAAGCGGAGGCUGCAGUGAGCCGAGAUCGCACCACUGCACUCCAGCCUGGCGACAGAGAGAGACUCCGUCUUAAAUAAAUAAAUAAAAUAAAAUAGGGCUUAUAGUCUGGGCAACAUGAUGAGACCCUAUCUCAACAACAACAAAAAAUGUUUAAUUAGCUGGGUAUGGUGGUGCAUGCCUGUAGUCCUAGUUACUUGGGAGGCUGAGGUGGGAAGAUCACGUGAGCCCUGGAGGUUGAGGCUGCAGUGAGCCAUGAUUGCACCACUGCACUCCAACCUGAUCAACAUAGUGAGAUCCUGUUCCCUAAAAAAUAAAGUAAAAUAGGGCUUGAAGGCCCUGCUGUUCUUCUGUCAACCCUUAGAUAUGGUCAGAAUCAAGCCCAGGUUCACCUCCUCUUUGAGACUCUGUCCUCCCUCUGCUUAGAAUCCUUGAAAGGCUUCCCAGUGCCCGGGAAACGCAAACCAAGCUCUUCAACAUGGUCCAAAGACCCCACAGGAUCUGGUCCAACUGAUGUAGUAUCAGUCCCAUCUGUGCUCACUCUAGUCCAACCCUGCUUGCCUCUUUCAUGAACAUAUCAAGCUCUUUUCCACUGCUGGAACUUUGCACUUGCAAGUCCAUCUGCCUAGACUUCUCUCCUCCACGGGCUCCACCUGGAAGGCUUCUUCACACAUUCAGCUCUCAGCUGGGACAUCACCACUCAGAGAAGGCCACCCUGACUACUUCUAUCUCAUGUGUUCAUUACCACAGCACUUUAAUUAUUUCCUUCACAGCAAAUUAUCACUAUCUGAAACCAUAUUUUUUAUUGCUAAAUUUGUUUAUAAUUUACCUCCUCCAUCAUAGGGCACUCUCUAUGCGAUCAAAGAUCUUAUCUGCCUUAUUCACUGCUGCAUCUCAAUGCCUGGAAGCGUUCCACUAAUGCCAUUAAGAGAAUGAAUGGGUGACCAACA